CUUGCACGUUGAUCUUUUUAUUGAUUUCAUAAAACACAGCGAAUAACAAACCUUUUUCACGGCUGCACAUGAAAUAAAAAAUGGCAAAACACGUUGCACAAAAAAUAAUCCUUUACCCCCUCUUUUAAAGGUAAAAAUCGGAAGUCUUGGGUAUGACUUAGAAGUUGAUCUGAUGACAGAAACAAUAUCUGGUCGUCUUUUUCUUCAUUUUUCUCCCAAAAUAACCCAAACUGAAUAAUCAUAGGAAUGGAUGACAAAUGUGACUUAUAUAUGCAUGGUACCUAUAGGACACUGAGACAUGAUGAUUAAUUUAUUGGCACUGGCUACGGUUACAUGGAAAUGUAACAAUAAUAAAAAUAUUAUUGUUACAUUGGAGACUAAAUGCCGGAAUGCAUGGUUGGGUGAGGACCUGAUUAAUUACGAAUGUAACAAUAACUAUUGAGGCUACGGUUACAUAGCGUUAUUGUUACAUGAAAAACAGCAAUGUACGAUGGGGACUUGUAAUAUGUACUAAAUAAUAAAAGUUUAAAGACAUUUAUUUUAUAUUUACAAUACAUACAAUGUCUUUAUUUUUUUUUAUUUACAUUGACAGUUUAUAAAUAUCCAGUAAGUGGUUUUUGGAGCAUGUUUAAGUCCGACACAUCAUUUUGACGAAUCCAGUCCAAGCAGCCAUCACACACCAGUAAUAAGGGGGCAGGACCUUUUUCGGGAUGCGGGAUCGCGUGUUUUUUUUAGCUCGGGAUAUCGAGAUUGAUCUUUCGGGAUGUCAGGAUUUUUUUUUUUUUUAAUUCGGGACCUCGGGACUUCAUGUUUUUAAGCCCGGGAUUUCGGGAUUAGGACCCCUCCUACCCUCCGCUGUGAACGUCUGUAUCGCAUACCAUGCAAUUCAAUUCUGCGAUAUUCCUUUUAGAAGAUAAGGAAAUCUUUAAUCUAAAAAUGGAAGUUUUUAACGACCUUGACUGGCUAUACAGCCCUUGCACGGUCGGUCUUUAAUGUUUGCCAUGCUUUCGGUGAGAAAUACUAUUUUACUCUCGAAAUGUUGAUAUUCUCAUCCGAUCUUUUGGUUGAAAGCAUGUGGUGUAGUUUCAUGUUGUCUUUCAAUAUGAUUGCAUUGCCCUCCAUUACGGAUGUUAGGUUUACCUCAGAUUUCAGUAUCCAACUUAGCAGUUAACAAACUUUGCUUCAGUUGAUGUAUCAAUUUUUUAGAGUUGCUUUUGUAUAGAGCUAUAGCUAUAGAGCUGUAUGAAAUUUGUGUCUUGAUAUUGUUUCAUUUUCGUUUCAAACGCAUCCCAAGUUUUUCAUCCAAAACUAAAUUGGUAAAAUAAAUCUCUUCAUCCAUUGUUCAAAGUAAUAUAAUGACAGUAAUAAGAGAAGGUGUGCAGUUAAAUACUUCAAAAAGUGAACACUUUAUCAGCCCAGUUCUCAACAACAAACUAUAUU
rnacentral:lncRNA from 1 species